GUCAGGGUAGCUCAGUUGGUUAGAGCACAGCAUUCAUAACGCUGAGGUCGUGGGUCCGACUCCCACCUCUGACA
rnacentral:tRNA from 1 species